rnacentral:rRNA from 1 species
CAGUAGCCGCGGGAACACGGAGGGUGCAAGCGUUAAUCGGAAUUACUGGGCGUAAAGCGUGCGCAGGCGGUUGUGUAAGACAGGUGUGAAAUCCCCGGGCUUAACCUGGGAACUGCGCUUGUGACUGCACAGCUAGAGUAUGGCAGAGGGGGGUGGAAUUCCACGUGUAGCAGUGAAAUGCGUAGAGAUGUGGAGGAACACCGAUGGCGAAGGCAGCCCCCUGGGACAACACUGACGCUGAGGCACGAAAGCGUGGGGAGCAAACAGGAUUAGAUACCCCUGUAGUCCCUGUCUCUUAUAC